UGGUGGUACCGAGCAGUGUUUUGGGGCGCAGAAGAAGAAUUUCGCAGAAAGAACUUCCUGUUGUGAAGCUAACCCCAGCACAGCAUGUGUGUCGUUUGUGUUCACGGUUUAAAGAAGAUUAUUGUGUUUUCGUCUACUUGUUACCCAGGCUGACAGCAGCUUCACUGCCUCAGAACAUUGUGUGCUUUGGAGAAACAGCAGAGGAUCAACAAAGGUUCAGUUUUAAAUCCAAACAACAUGGA